UGUUUUCAUAAGUGAUAGGAACAUAAUUAGGCUAUUUGGUCCUUCAAGUCUACUCUGCCAUUCAAUCAUGGUUGAUCUUUCUUUCCCUCUCAACCCCAUUCUCCUGUCUUCUCCUCAUAAGCCCUGACAUUCCUACUAAUCAAGAAUCUGUCAAUCUU